UGGGGAAUAUUGCGCAAUGGGGGGAACCCUGACGCAGCCAUGCCGCGUGAAUGAAGAAGGCCUUAGGGUUGUAAAGUUCUUUCGGUAUUGAGGAAGGUUGAUGUGUUAAUAGCACAUCAAAUUGACGUUAAAUACAGAAGAAGCACCGGCUAACUCCGUGCCAGCAGCCGCGGUAAUACGGAGGGUGCGAGCGUUAAUCGGAAUAACUGGGCGUAAAGGGCACGCAGGCGGUUAUUUAAGUGAGGUGUGAAAGCCCUGGGCUUAACCUAGGAAUUGCAUUUCAGACUGGGUAACUAGAGUACUUUAGGGAGGGGUAGAAUUCCACGUGUAGCGGUGAAAUGCGUAGAGAUGUGGAGGAAUACCGAAGGCGAAGGCAGCCCCUUGGGAAUGUACUGACGCUCAUGUGCGAAGGCGUGGGGAGCAAACAGGAUUAGAUACCCUGGUAGUCCACGCUGUAAACGCUGUCGAUUUGGGGGUUGGGGUUUAACUCUGGCGCCCGUAGCUAACGUGAUAAAUCGACCGCCUGGGGAGUACGGCCGCAAGGUUA
rnacentral:rRNA from 1 species